UGACUNGAGUGCAGAAGGGGAGAGUGGAAUUCCAUGUGUAGCGGUGAAAUGCGUAGAUAUAUGGAGGAACACCAGUGGCGAAAGCGGCUCUCUGGUCUGUCACUGACGCUGAGGCUCGAAAGCGUGGGUAGCGAACAGGAUUAGAUACCCUGGUAGUCCACGCCGUAAACGAUGAGUGCUAGGUGUUAGGCCCUUUCCGGGGCUUAGUGCCGGAGCUAACGCAAUAAGCACUCCGCCUGGGGAGUACGACCGCAAGGUUGAAACUCAAAGGAAUUGACAGGGGCCCGCACAAGCGGUGGAGCAUGUGGUUUAAUUCGAAGCAACGCGAAGAACCUUACCAGGUCUUGACAUCCCGAUGCUAUUCUUAGAGAUAGGAAGUUACUUCGGUACAUCGGAGACAGGUGGUGCAUGGUUGUCGUCAGCUCGUGUCGUGAGAUGUUGGGUUAAGUCCCGCAACGAGCGCAACCCUUAUUGUUAGUUGCCAUCAUUAAGUUGGGCACUCUAGCGAGACUGCCGGUAAUAAACCGGAGGAAGGUGGGGAUGACGUCAAAUCAUCAUGCCCCUUAUGACCUGGGCUACACACGUGCUACAAUGGUCGGUACAACGAGUUGCGAGCCGGUGACGGCAAGCUAAUCUCUGAAAGCCGAUCUCAGUUCGGAUUGGAGGCUGCAACUCGCCUCCAUGAAGUCGGAAUCGCUAGUAAUCGCGGAUCAGCACACCGCGGUGAAUACGUUCCGGGGCCUUGUACACACCGCCCGUCACACCACGAGAGUUUGUAGCACGCGAAGUCGGUGAGGU
rnacentral:rRNA from 1 species